GUCUUUUUGAAUAUAAUUUAAAGUUUAAUCUGCCCACUGAUAUUUUAAAUGGCUGCAGUAUUUUAACUGUACAAAGGUAGCAUAAUAAUUAGUUUCUUAAUUAGGAGCUGGAAUGAAUGAUUGGACAAGAAAAAGACUUUUUUAAUUUAAUAUAAUUAGAAUUUUAUUUUUUAGUAAAAAAGCUAAAAUAAAUUUAUUAGACGAGAAGACCCUAUAGAGUUUUAUUUAAAUUUAAUUAAUUAAUUUUAGUAUAAUUAUAAAUUAAUUUUUAUUUAAAUUUUAUUGGGGUGAUAUAAAAAUUAUUGAACUUUUUAAUAUUAUUACAUAAAUGAAUGAAUUUAAGAUCUUAUUUUUUAGAUUUAUAGAUAAAAUUACCUUAGGGAUAACAGCGUAAUUUUUUUAGAGAGUUCAUAUUGAAAAAAAAGAUUGCGACCUCGAUGUUGGAUUAAGGUUAAAUUUUAAUGAAGUAGUUAAAAUAUUUAGUCUGUUCGACUAUUUAAAUCUUACAUGAUC
rnacentral:rRNA from 1 species